GCCGGUGACCGAGGCCAUCUUUCCCCCCACCCCUCCUCUCCAGUGUUUUUGUGCCAGAUCGCCUGGACCCUGCAAAGGAGCCUUUCUUAAGGGUUUUUAAAUCUUCUUUGGGAAAUCAGUUGUAUGUUUCAAGUUAGCAUAGUAGAUUUUUUUGUAGAUUGUCCAGAAGAGCUGAGCUGCCUGGUGGCUUUGCCCGCGGUACAGAGCUAACUAACCACUUAAUGUAUCUUUAAUAGCUUGAAGAUUUGCAAAAACCGAGACGAGCGGAGAGUCCUUGCUGUAGAGUUCAACCUGUGCUUUUGGGAGGAAAAGCCCUGCUGAAAGGGGCACAUUACUGACUCAUCUAAGUCUGAAGUAUUGCGACUAUCACGAUUUAAAAGCGUUCAUCUGAUUCAACAGUAUUACUCUGGAGUCUGUGCUUCUUGCGGUGCUUUGGCCUUUGACUUUUCUGAGUCGUCACAAUCCUGAUUUUCAGUUGUCUUCUUGUUGCUUGUUUUUUCAAGUGCAGCACAGUGAGUGGAAAAGGGCACAAGUCAGGAGUUAAGUAACUUGGAAAUUAUUUUUUUUAAUGUGCUUUAAAUAAAAGGCUAACCACAUUGAAAGAGUAUUGGCAUAAACAUUAAAUUUUCUAAAUAAAAAUACCCAUCUUUGCCAAGAGCUCCAAUAAUUUGUUAGAGGAUGAAUGACGGGACAAGAUUCUGAAUGUGCUGCUAGCGAAUAGUAAUUUUAGUAUUAGUAUCUUUGGGAAGUAGGUUCUGGAAUAAUCAGUUUAUUUUGCAAAGCAUUGUCUUUAAAGCUUGCUAUCCCUCUGGGGCAUAUGUAUAUUGUAAGUAAUAUAUGAAACAUAUAUGGUUACUUCAGAACUUCAUUUCAGAACAUAUUUUAUAAAACUAUAGGUUAGAAACACUGCAGAGAUUGCCUUUAAUAUGUCACUAUGGAUACUUAAAUGGCAAUGAGGGAUUUAUUCAAGGCAUCAAAAUGCUGUUUUAAGAGAAGAUGUCCCCGUUUCAUGUGGGGAGCAAAGCCCUCCUUUUUCUGCAGUAAGGGCUUGCUUUCCUUUUUAUGCUGUCUUCUCAUCAUUAAAGGCUAGUUCUGCUUCUUGUAUUAUGCCUGUGGGUCUGUGUGUGAGUUGUAUGUGAAGUGGUUUUGCCAUUGCUGAAUUGUAUUGUCUUGGUUUUAGAAGACAUUUUUAUCUUGAUGUGGCUCAUGAUCCUAAUUUGACAGUGAUUUUGUGGUGGUGUGCAGUGGGUAGUACUUUUAAAGUACUCCUGUCUUCAAGAAGGCUGACCUUUAAGGCACUGAGAUAUUUAUUCCCUGCCGCUCUGGGACAGAUGGAGGAGAUACUUGUUUCAUUUGAGAAAGUAGGUAUUUCAUGGACAUUCAACUUAAUGUUGUCUUAUUUUAUUUAUUUAUUUUUUUUGUCUUUUUUUUUUGCUAUUUCUUGGGCCGCUCCCGCGGCAUAUGGAGGUUCCCAGGCUAGGGGUCCAAUCGGAGCUGUAGCCACUGGCCUACGCCAGAGCCACAGCAACGUGGGAUCUGAGCCGUGUCUGCAACCUACACCACAGCUCACGGCAACGCCAGAUCGUUAACCCACUGAGCAAGCGCAGGGACCGAACCCACAACCUCAUGGUUCCUAGUCGGGUUCGUUAACCACUGUGCCACAACGGGAACUCCAUGUUGUCUUAUUUUACAUGCAAGGAAGCUAAGACUUAGAGGGUUCUGACUCUAGAAGUGGCAGAGCCAGGAUUGGAUCCUGCUCUGAUUUCACAGUCUUUACGUGUGGGCGCUUUUCCUUGCGUUGCAUUGCAUCGCUGCUGCAAGUGGACUUGAGGUGAAAAACCUGCAUAAGUUGCACAUAAGUCCUUAGUUAAUACUUGCUGAAUGAAUUGAAACUGUCUCACCUUAAGUGUCCAGGUGACCUUUGAUUAUCUGAAUUACUUAACAUUUGCCUCCUUUUUUGUGGUAAAAUACAACAAAAGGUACCAUCUUAACCGUUUUUAAGUGUUAAUAAUGCAGUGCUGUGGCAUUAAGUGCAUUCACAUUGUUCUGCAGCCAUCAUCACCAUUCAUCUUCCUCAACUGAGACUGUCCCCGCUCAGCGUUAACUCCCCAUUCCACCAUCCUCCCCGGCCCAGGCCACCAUCGUUCUGUUCUCUGUCUCUAUGAAUCUGACGGCUCUUGGAACCUAACGUAAGCAGAAUCAAAACAACAUUGUCCUUUUGUGACUUAACAUUGCAUCUUCCAGAAUCAUGCAUCUUGUAGCCUGUGUCAGAAUUUCCUGCUUUUUCAAGGCUGAGUAAUAUUUCAUCAUACAUGGAUGCACCCCAUUUUGCUUCUCCAUUCAUUCUUCGAUGGAUUCUUGUGUUGCUUGUGCGUUUUGGCUUUGUAAACAAUGCUGCUGUGAACAGAGGUGUACAGAUUAUCUGUUUGAAUCCCAGCUUUCACUUCUUGGGGAUUUGUUUCUUGAUCAUCAAGCAAGAAGUGGUCAGAUUGUUUCUUAAUCGCCAGAACACUAGAAUAGACUCCGAAUUUAUUGCAAUAUGAGUUUUCUCAGGGUAGUUCCGGAUAGUUCUACUUUCCCACAAAUAGCAACUAUUUGUUAAUAGAAGACUUUAAUCUUUUUGAGGCCAAAGACUUAGCUGUUUUUAAUGAUCUCCGUUUCCAUCCGUAUUAGCAAGUAGCUGAAUUCAUUCGGUUGAUCCAUCGUGGCGCCCUCGUUGUGCUCUGUUGGAUGCCAGAGGGAGGUACUGGUCAGGUCUGUGCUUAACUUGGGUAAAGAGUAAGUUGGAGCCGAGUGGUUUCCCCUUGUGCUCUGGCACGUUCGUGAGUGCAGCACGCUCUCAAAGCCCCGGGGAUGUAUGUGUUUGAUUGGCUCCUCUGAGGAUGGGUUCAAGAGGGCCUUCUAACAGACAGGUGUUUGAGAGGACUCUGAGCCUGAGGGACGGAGUGUGGAGAGAGCUGGGGGGAUUCGAUGAGAGGCUUUGAACAGGGAUCAUUAGCAUCUCCAUGUAGCUAAAGUUUGUUAUUUUUUCAGUGUUUUAUUAGUCAAAGCAAAAGAGGAAGCAGGACUAAUUAGAGUUGGCAUUGAUUAAUGAAAGGAAGUGUACCAAUUCAUCAGAAGCAGCCUCUUGUGUGAAGAAUGAGCAUUUGGAUUCUUAGGUAAAAAGAUGACAUUAGCAAUGUAUGGAGAAAACGUUUUACUUUUUACAAAUGAUAGAGAAAUUUUUCACAUGCUGCUUUGGAGAAACUGGAUAAGGCCUCAGGCAGAACGGAGAAGCUUAGUAGCGCAGGUGUACAGCAUCCUGGUGAUUUGAGUCAUUGGCAACUAGUUAAUUUAUCUUUCCAGGUGAUUUCCCUCAUGUAGCAUUUUUCUCUACAGGCUUUUGACAGAUGCCGAAUAACAGUCCAUUCACACAUGGACUCUUCUCGAGAGCAUAGGCAGGCAGGAUUUUCCACAGUCUCUCUGCUGUUGGGUGAUGGUAUAGAUUGGAUGGAUGAAUACGGAGAGAAACACAGUCUUGAGAUCUAGUGGAUGAAAGUGAAAUUUUCAGACAUGUAAGAAGGCCUUUGUUAAAGUGAAUUUUGAGUACCAAGUAGCUUUUGGACUUAUCUAACAUUGGCAGUGAAUUUUGGGUUCUCCUUCACUAUGCAGAGUUGCUAUCCAUUUUAAAUAGGUGACUAAGAAGAUGCCGCAAGAAAGCAUUGUCUGAGGAUGUCCGCAAGACAUCUAGGGAAUAAGACACGAAAGACUUCAGUUUUGGCCUUAGUGGAGUUCCCAUCAUGGCUCAGCGGAAACAAAUCUGACUAGCAUCCAUGAGGAUGCAGGUUCAAUCCCCGGCCUUGCUCAGUGGGUUAAGGAUCUGGUGUUGCUGUGAGCUGUGGUGUAGGUUACUGAUGUGGCUCGGAUCCCGCAUUGCUGUGGUGGCUGUGGUGCAGGCCGGCAGCUGCAGCUCUGAUUCAACCCCUAGCCUGGGAACGUCCAUAUGCCACCGAUUCAGCCCUGGAAAAGCCAAAAAAAUUUUUUUUUGGCCUUGGCGUUCUGAGUUUUGAAGCUCACAGUGACACUGACGGUCAUGCUGCAUUAAGGUUUACAAGUUCGUAGGGGUAGUAAAGAUAGCGCUGAACAGAGCUUAUGUAUAGAAGGUGCUUGGAUUUGUUGAGUGGAUCAAUUAGUUGAUAUUACUUUUUAAAGGCCUUAGAAGCCAAAGCAGUUUUAUGGAAAAUAAUAUUGCUUGUCUAUUAAGGCCUUUGAAAAGAUGAUUACUAUUCUGAUUUUGGACAGAUCUGCGCCUGGUCCUUCAUGAGUGAGGUACAUAUGACUAGUGCAUGGAAACAUUGUCUGCGGAGAAAAGGGUUAAUUUCCCAGAAGAGAAUUGCCAUCAAAUGGGGAGUUUUACUGGUAUUGUAGGCUUUCCCAUUGCUGAAGCUGGCGAACGCUGUUAGUUAUUGUGGUUGUUCUUUUUUAGGUGACAACUCACACAUCUGCAAUGAGAUAGGAAUUUAGAAAACAUUUUUUGAAAUUCUUUGGGGGAUUAGAACGUGCCAGCAAACCAGUUCAGAAUUUUAAAAAUAAUGUAUCGAAAGAACUCAUAUAAUGAGAGAAGGAGCUGAUUUUAAGAACCAAUCUUUGACAUGAUGUAAAAAGGUUCUUUGAUUAAGGAGUUAGAUCAGUGACCUUAUUUGAAGGGAAAGAAAAGGCAGUAGACCUAGGUAAGACUUUCUGAGAUAUUUUGAGAUUCCAGGGUUUCUGUUUUCCUUCCAUUGGUGACAGUCGAGGAGGGCGGGUUGGACGGGAUGAACCCAGAGCUUUGAACAGCCUCUCCUCUCGCACACCCUGCUGCACACCCAUCGCUGGCAGUAGCUCUGAUUAGUGGUAUUUUGAGCUUUUCCUCUUUUUGCACAAUACGGCAUUACUAUUUUAUCAUAGCAUUUUAAGGAUGUUUAAGAGCAGGUCUUUGGUGUCAGAGAAACCGCAGGGUUCAAAUUCUGAUGCCUUCAGUUGAUAGCUGAGGAGCACGGGGCGUCUGGCAACCUUUCUGAGUCAGCUGUCCCAUCUCUACACUGGUCGUAAUCAAGGUAUCUGCUGCUUGAGGUUGUGAGGAGAGAAAGUGAGUUUUUUAAAACACCUAGCCCAGUUCUAGCACCUAGUUACCAUUUGAUAACAUUUAGCUGACAUUUUGCUUCAAGUAGAGGCAGUUUUGCUCUAAAAGUUGAUUUGAUCCUGUUGUGAUCCCCCCCCCAAAUUAUGCACGGUGAGGUGUAUGCUCAGCUUUAUAAUGGAAGAUGAAAAAGGGAAGAGGGUUGGAGAAGCAUAUUUCGUAUUUCACAGCACGCGUUUUCUGUGAGGAUUGUCUGCACUCAUUCAAAUGGUCCUCUCUCUUAGUUGGGUCUCUGAGGAACGAUACCGAGCAUAAUAGUGCCUUAAAUGUUGCUCUCUUCCCUCAGGAGCCAUCCUUCUUCUCUUACGUAUAAGUGAAUGCAUUGUCCUUGAGUCUCUUUGAACCACCAUAAACUUUUUCUGUAUGUGUCGUACGUAUUUGAUGUCAUCCAGCGGUUCCUGUUCUUUGGAGAUUCCUGAUGUAACAAAAGAUAGGACUCUUCCGCCCAGAAAAAUGUGCAUGUGCGUAUUCAUAAUUUUAUAUACGGUUAUGGGAGGUCUGGGACCCCUGCCGGACCCCGUCCAUAGGGUAUAGCUACUCAAAUAAGGACAAGUGAUAGAUUAACUAAGGAACAGCAGAAAUUCAGAUGAUCGAGGCAGAUAUGGUUGGUGGAAUGAACGAACAGUGUAAAAUGGUGGUGGUGGAGAGGUCUGUUCUGGAGUUCCCUAGUGGCCUAGUGGUUAAGGAUUUGGUGUUGUCACUGCUCUGGCUCCUGUUUGAUCCUUGGCCCUGGAACUUCUGCAUGCGGGGGCUCCCCCACUCCCCCGAUGAAAAACACAAAGAAACCUGUUUGGUGUUUUAGUUUGGCUUUACUUCUAAAUAACGAGCUGUGUGUUGAGAGCAAGUCACCCUGGCCUUUCUAGGCUUAGUUGUGGUUUUCUCUCCUUUAAAAUGAGAACACGUGUGAGUCUCCAUUGUUUUUAUUUUUUUUGUCUUUUUGCUAUUUCUUGGGCCACUCCCGCAGCAUAUGGAGGUUCCAAGGCUAGGGGUCAAAUUGGAGCUGCAGCCUCCGGCCUACGCCAGAGCCACAGCAACGUGGGAUCCGAGCCACAUCUGCGACCUACACCACAGCUCAGGGCAACGCCAGAUCGUCAACCCACUGAGCAAGGGCAGGGACCGAACCCGCAACCUCAUGGUUCCUGGUCGGAUUCGUUAACCACUGCGUCACAACGGGGACUCCAUCCGUUGUUUCUUAUAGUUAGUAAUCUUCGAGGCGCCCAUAUAACUCAGGGACUUCAUUUCAGACCGACUCUACACUGGAAAGCUCUAAACCUGGAAAAGAGAAUGCAUUUGUUGAGCAUUAAGGUUUGUAUGUAGCGACUCCUCAGACCUAGGUGAUGGAAUCAUGAGAUGUUGUGAGCAUAAAAUGGAAAUGUAAGAUGAAAACCAUGGGAAGCAGGCCUUGAGAAGUAGGUGAAGUCGGAAUGUGCCUUGAAAGGAUGGCAGAAACCUUUCAGAGACGGUGGAGUCUUUUCAUCGUCUGUCUCUGCGUCUAGUGCAGCUUAGUAAGUGAUUGUUAGUGAAUGACAGUCUGACAGGAACUGUUGAAAGCUUUUGAUCUGAUGGGUGUGAUAAGGAGCACGCAACCCAUUGAGAGGCCUCAUGAGCAAAAGAGUGUCUAACAGGCACCCAAGUAUUUUAGUUGUAAAGUUUAUUAUGUUUUAUACAUAAUACUGUACUGGAUUACCUGUCUUUUUCCAGGGUCUUGUAUAUUGUAUAGCUGGACAUUAAAAAGAAAAAAAAAA
rnacentral:lncRNA from 1 species